rnacentral:rRNA from 1 species
UAUAAUUUUAUAAUUUUUAUAUUAUUAAAUUUUUAAAAAUAAAAUUAAUCAAUUUUUUAAAAAGUACUGUAAAGGAAAAUUUAUUUUAUAAAAAAUAAGUAUAUUUUUACCUUUUGUAUUAGGGUUUAUCUAUAAAAUUAAAAAAAAUUAAUUUCCCGAAAAAAGUUAAUCUAUUUUUAUUUUAUUUUUUUUAUUGAAAAAAAAAAAUAAAAAUAAAAAUUUUAUUAAAUUUAAAUAAAAACUUUUAUAUCUGGUUAAAAAAAUAUUAUUUUAGAUAAAUUUAUAAUAAAUUUUAAUAUUUAUUUUUUAUUUAUAAAUUAAAUAAAAAAAGAUAAGUUUUUUUAUAAAAUAUAUUUAAUAAAAAAUUAUAAUUAAGAUUUGAUAUUUAUUAUUUUUUGUAACAAAAAAUUAAUUUGCUCUCAAAUAAUUUAAAUUAUUUAUUAAAAUAAUUCUUUUAAUAAAAUUAAUUUUAAAUAAUGAUAAUAUUAGUAUAAAAAUUUAUUUUAUAAAUAUAAACUCGGCAAUUUUAUUUUUUCAACUGUUUAACAAAAACAUUUUUUUUAGAUUUUAUUAAAAAUAAAUUCUGCUCAAUGCUUUAGUAAAUUGCUGAGGUAUUUUAACUUCACAAAGGUAUUGAAAUAAGACCUUAAUUGGGUGCUAAGAGAAUGGAUUAAUGAUUAAAUUCUUUAUUUUUAUAAAAAAUAUAAUUUAUAUUAAAAAUAAAAAUUAUUUUUAUAUUAAUAUAAGACAAGAAGACCCUAUGAAUCUUUAUUUUAAAAAAAAUUUAAUUGGGGCGAUUAAAAAAUAUAAAAAAACUUUAUUUUUAAAGUUUAUUAAAAAUUUAUAAAAAGAUACUCUAGGGAUAACAGCGUUAUUAUUUUGAAGAGUUCCUAUCGAUAAAAUAGUUUGCGACCUCGAUGUUGAAUUAAUGAACCUUAUAUAAGCAAAAAUAUAUAAAGGUAGAUUGCUCAUCUAUUAAAUCAUUACAUGAUUUGAGUUCAGACCGGUGUAAACCAGGUUGGUUUCUAUCUAUACAAUAAAUAUAAUUUUUUAGUACGAAAGGAAUAAAAAUUAUUUUU